UACGUAGGGUGCGAGCGUUAAUCGGAAUUACUGGGCGUAAAGCGUGCGCAGGCGGUUUUGCAAGCCGGAUGUGAAAUCCCGGGCUUAACCUGGGAAUGGCAUUUGGGACUGCAAGGCUGGAGUGCGGCAGAGGAGACUGGAAUUCCUGGUGUAGCAGUGAAAUGCGUAGAUAUCAGGAGGAACACCGAUGGCGAAGGCAGGUCUCUGGGCUGACACUGACGCUCAUGCACGAAAGCGUGGGGAGCAAACAGG
rnacentral:rRNA from 1 species